AGAGUUUGAUCCUGGCUCAGAAUCAACGCUGGCGGCGUGCCUAACACAUGCAAGUCGAACGAGAAAGUGGAGCAAUCCAUGAGUAAAGUGGCGCACGGGUGAGUAACACGUGACUAACCUACCCUUGAGUGGGGGAUAACCUGGGGAAACCUUGGCUAAUACCGCAUAACACCUACGGGUCAAAGGGGCAAUUCGCUUAAGGAGGGGGUCGCGGCAGAUUAGUUAGUUGGCGGGGUAAUGGCCCACCAAGACAGUGAUCUGUAUCCGGCCUGAGAGGGCGCACGGACACACUGGAACUGAAACACGGUCCAGACUCCUACGGGAGGCAGCAGUGGGGAAUUUUGCGCAAUGGGGGAAACCCUGACGCAGCAACGCCGCGUGGAGGAUGAAGUCCCUUGGGACGUAAACUCCUUUCGACCGGGACGAUUAUGACGGUACCGGAAGAAGAAGCCCCGGCUAACUUCGUGCCAGCAGCCGCGGUAAUACGAGGGGGGCGAGCGUUGUUCGGAAUUAUUGGGCGUAAAGGGUGCGUAGGCGGUUCGGUAAGUUUCGUGUGAAAUCUUCGGGCUCAACUCGAAGCCUGCACGAAAUACUGCCGGGCUCGAGUGUGGGAGAGGUGAGUGGAAUUUCCGGUGUAGCGGUGAAAUGCGUAGAUAUCGGAAGGAACACCUGUGGCGAAAGCGGCUCACUGGACCACAACUGACGCUGAUGCACGAAAGCUAGGGGAGCAAACAGGAUUAGAUACCCCAGUAGUCC
rnacentral:rRNA from 1 species